AUUGAACGCUGGCGGCAGGCCUAACACAUGCAAGUCGAACGAGUGGCGGACGGGUGAGUCAUGUCUGGGAAACUGCCUGAUGGAGGGGGAUAACUACUGGAACCGGUAGCUAAUACCGCAUACCAUCGGAUGUGCCCACGUGGGAUUAGCUAGUUGGUGGGGUAAAGGCUCACCUAGGCGACGAUCCCUAGCUGGUCUGAGAGGAUGACCGGCGACACGGGAACUGAGACUAGGUCCAGACUCCUACGGGAGGCAGCAGGGGGGAAUAUUGCACAAUGGGCGAAAGCCUGAUGCAGCCAUGCCGCGUGUAUGAAGAAGGCCUUCGGGUUGUAAAGUACUUUCAGCGGGGAGGCGUUACCCGCCGAAGAAGCACCGGCUAACUCCGUGCCAGCAGCCGCGGUAAUAC
rnacentral:rRNA from 1 species